GACGAACGCUAGCGGCAGGCCUAACACAUGCAAGUCGAACGGUAAGGCCUCUUCGGAGGUACACGAGUGGCGCACGGGUGCGUAACGCGUAUGCAACCUACCCUUAAGAGAGGGAUAGUCGCGGGAAACUGCGAAUAAUACCUCAUGUUAUCACGAUAUGGCAUCGUAUUGUGAUCAAAGUUCAGGCGCUUAAGGAUGGGCAUGCGUUACAUUAGCUAGUUGGUGAGGUAACGGCUCACCAAGGCAACGAUGUAUAGCUGGUCUGAGAGGAUGAUCAGCCACACGGGCACUGAGACACGGGCCCGACUCCUACGGGAGGCAGCAGUGAGGAAUAUUGGGCAAUGGGGGCAACCCUGACCCAGCCAUGCCGCGUGAAGGAAGACGGCCCUCUGGGUUGUAAACUUCUUUUAUCAGGGGAUAAUUAUGUCCUAUACGGAUGUUUGUAGGUACCUGAUGAAUAAGCGCCGGCUAACUACG
rnacentral:rRNA from 1 species